rnacentral:rRNA from 1 species
UACGGAGGGUGCAAGCGUUAAUCGGAAUUACUGGGCGUAAAGCGUGCGUAGGCGGUUCGUUAAGUCUGUUGUGAAAGCCCCGGGCUCAACCUGGGAAUGGCAAUGGAUACUGGCGAGCUAGAGUGUGUCAGAGGAUGGUGGAAUUCCCGGUGUAGCGGUGAAAUGCGUAGAGAUCGGGAGGAACAUCAGUGGCGAAGGCAGCCUCCUGGGCCAACACUGACGCUCAUGCACGAAAGCGUGGGGAGCAAACAGG